rnacentral:SRP_RNA from 1 species
CGCAAGUCAGAUCGAUUUGCUCCCCCGAAUCCCCCAGGUACGGAAGUAAGCAAGGGUAAGGGGUUGAGCGAUGCGUUUCUGACUUGUUUUU